AAGGAGUUCAUCUGGUUGGCAUUUGCCGGGGGAGGUUGUGCUGGACUGACUGCCCUCCAGAGCUUCUCGCUCCUUGAGACUCUUAAGCUGAAACAUUGGUGUUAAAGACUCAAACAUAACUGAUAGCUGUGAUGGGAUCAAUACUGCUCAACAGAGUUGCAAACAACAUAAUGUGUUAAAGGAUACAAUGCGCUGGUCCUGGUACGCCCACUUCUGUUUCAAAUAUUCAAUGAGGCUGGAAACCUUUCUAUGCAGCUCCACCACCAUUCUAGGUAUUCUUGGGCUAAUCUUUUGGUCCUGUGAUGCCGCAGCAAACGGACACCAUUUUCAAAAGCACUGGCACGAGUUAAA